rnacentral:rRNA from 1 species
UACGUAGGGAGCGAGCGUUGUCCGGAUUUACUGGGUGUAAAGGGUGCGUAGGCGGGACUGCAAGUCAGACGUGAAAUACCGAGGCUUAACUUCGGGGCUGCGUUUGAAACUGUGGUUCUUGAGUGAAGUAGAGGCAGGCGGAAUUCCUAGUGUAGCGGUGAAAUGCGUAGAUAUUAGGAGGAACACCAGUGGCGAAGGCGGCCUGCUGGGCUUUAACUGACGCUGAUGCACGAAAGCAUGGGGAGCAAACAGGAUUAGAUACCCUGGUAGUCCAUGCCGUAAACGAUGAUAGCUAGGUGUGGGGGGACUGACCCCUUCCGUGCCGGAGUAAACACAAUAAGCUAUCCACCUGGGGAGUACGACCGCAAGGUUGAAACUCAAAGGAAUUGACGGGGGCCCGCACAAGCAGUGGAGUAUGUGGUUUAAUUCGAAGCAACGCGAAGAACCUUACCAGGUCUUGACAUCCAACUAACGAAGCAGAGAUGCAUUAGGUGCCCUUCGGGGAAAGUUGAGACAGGUGGUGCAUGGUUGUCGUCAGCUCGUGUCGUGAGAUGUUGGGUUAAGUCCCGCAACGAGCGCAACCCUUGUCAUUAGUUGCUACGCAAGAGCACUCUAAUGAGACUGCCGUUGACAAAACGGAGGAAGGUGGGGACGACGUCAAAUCAUCAUGCCCCUUAUGACCUGGGCUACACACGUACUACAAUGGCCGUUAACAGAGGGAAGCAAGACCGCGAGGUGGAGCAAAACCCUAAAAACGGUCUCAGUUCAGAUUGCAGGCUGCAACUCGCCUGCAUGAAGGUGGAAUUGCUAGUAAUCGCGGAUCAUAAUGCCGCGGUGAAUACGUUCCCGGGCCUUGUACACACCGCCCGUCACACCAUGGGAGCCGGUAAUACCCGAAGUCAGUAGCCUAACCGCAAGGAGGGCGCUGCCGAAGGUAGGAUUGGCGACUGGGGUG